CAGCCGCCGCGGUAAUACGGAGGGUGCGAGCGUUAAUCGGAAUUACUGGGCGUAAAGCGUACGCAGGCGGUUUGUUAAGUCAGAUGUGAAAUCCCCGAGCUUAACUCGGGAACUGCAUUUGAAACUGGCAGGCUAGAGUCUCGUAGAGGGGGGUAGAAUUCCAGGUGUAGCGGUGAAAUGCGUAGAGAUCUGGAGGAAUACCGGUGGCGAAGGCGGCCCCCUGGACGAAGACUGACGCUCAGGUACGAAAGCGUGGGGAGCGAACAGGAUUAGAUACCCCUGUAGUCCCUGUCUCUUAUAC
rnacentral:rRNA from 1 species